rnacentral:rRNA from 1 species
UACGGAGGGGGGCUAGCGUUGUUCGGAAUUACUGGGCGUAAAGCGCACGUAGGCGGCGAUUUAAGUCAGAGGUGAAAGCCCGGGGCUCAACCCCGGAAUAGCCUUUGAGACUGGAUUGCUAGAAUCUUGGAGAGGCGAGUGGAAUUCCGAGUGUAGAGGUGAAAUUCGUAGAUAUUCGGAAGAACACCAGUGGCGAAGGCGGCUCGCUGGACAAGUAUUGACGCUGAGGUGCGAAAGGCGUGGGGAGCAAACAGG